rnacentral:rRNA from 1 species
UACGGAGGGUGCAAGUGUUAUUCGGAUUUACUGGGCGUAAAGAGCACGUAGGCGGAUAGGUCAGUCAGAUGUGAAAGCCCGGAGCUUAACUCCGGAACUGCAUUUGAUACUACCUGUCUUGAGUAUGGUAGAGGGGGGUGGAAUUCCCGGUGUAGAGGUGAAAUUCGUAGAUAUCGGGAGGAACACCAGAGGCGAAGGCGACCCCCUGGGCCAUAACUGACGCUGAGGUGCGAAAGCGUGGGGAGCAAACAGG